rnacentral:lncRNA from 1 species
CUUUUACCGCAUCGGUAUGUUGGCUCUGACUGGCAGUGUUUCAAUUCAUGAAUGAAGUGUAGCACUCUUGGUGUUUAUACUUUAUAAGAUCUUCUAGUGAUAUUAAUAAAAUUAUUCGUUCAUUAUGUUGUUUUUGAUCCUGCAUUAUUCUAAUUGUCUAAUGCAGAAUAAUAAAAAAUGGAAACACGUUCAACGAGAAAAUAAAGAUGAAGGAUAAAGAUAAAGAAAUAGAAUUGGCAACUGUUGAGAAACAUUGUUCUGAUUUGGUAAAAAUGAAACAUUAAGCUAGAAGACAAGAAGAAAAUUUACAUUUGACUAGAACAUGCAAGAAGAUCUAUCAAUAUAUUACAACAUUGCAUUUGGAGAAAGAAAACGCGUACAAUUUUUUGUAUGGGAUGAUUCAAGGCAAGUUUCAGUAUCAAGAUUUUCAAAA